AAGAUUUUAAAGGUCGAACAGACCUAAUUAACUCAUAAAGCCUCUACACCAAAAAUUCAUCUUAAUCCAACAUCGAGGUCGCAAACCCUUUUGUCAAUAAGAACUCUCAAAAAAGAUUACG
rnacentral:rRNA from 2 species